rnacentral:sRNA from 1 species
UCUUGGCAGUUGUGAACCCGACGGAUGUACACCCGUCAAAUGAAAUUGCUUUCAUUUAACCAAUUAAAUGAAAGAAAAAUGUUCCAAAAUUCUAUGGAUUUAAUAGAAAAGCUGAAGUAAUGGAAGAAAUUGGAAAAUAUAACAAAGAACAAUUAAAAAAUCAUCAGAAUUUAUGACUGGAGCAAGCUGUCUACAAGUUCGAAUGAGAGAAGUAGACGUGUGCAUGGGGACAGCAUGUUUCAUUAAUAAAAACAUUCUGAGCAGCAAAAGAUGGCACGAACUUCUUCGAUUAAUAAAAUAAUCUUACAUACCUGUAAUUUUUCGGUUAUUUCCUUGUGGAGAUUAUUCAAAUCCAAUUCCGUUUGGUGAUUGUUAUAACCUGUCAUCAUGAGUUCACCUUGCCGGGUGAAGGCAGAGCGCCAGUUUUAUAUACUGCUAUACCACAAUGCAUUGCGAUAAUAGUCUCGAAUCCAUUCAUGAAAUAGUUUUCUUUGUUGUGGUGUUUGUAUUAAUUAAAAACAAGACCACUGGAUCUAUACCAGAAUGUGUGUUUUACAAAUACCACAUGUUUGUGUGUCAAAACAUCAAUUGUUUUGAUUAAUGCAAGCGAACACGGGGUUUACUUAGCACGUGCACACGUGUACCUAAAAUGUUGACCUCGUCACCUAAAAAUUUUGCAAAUCGGAUUUUGUUUUGGGGGAUUUUUUUUGUCAAAACCUGAUAAAAAAUGAAAUUGUUUCAAUAAAAUAAACGUUUAAUCACCCUAAACCGUUAGAUUGAGACUAUGUUUACCUGUUUACCACUGGAUGGAACCGGUUAUAAACUUCAAAGGCGGAUCUAUGAAAAAUUUCGCGCGAUUAAAUCGGUAAUUGCAAGUAGGCCAUGUAUAUAUCAUCGGAUGUAUGCUUACCAAUAUACACAAUUGAAACACUUUAUGUAAUAAAACCGACACAGCUGUCUGCUUAUGCUAUAAUAUAUAAUUUAAAAUUUAAAAAAAUUAUGCCAGAUGAAUAUAGCCUAUUGAUAUAAAAUAUCGAUGAUAUUUUCUGAUAUAUACAUGAACAUGCAUUGUCUUUAUUUGCACCUAUGCAGCUUGUUUAGAAUUACAAAUUACUGCACAAGUAAGAGAUUUCAUGGAACAAAUUAAAUUAUAGUAUGAUUAAAUGUAUAUCUGUUAAUAUGAAUUUACUCAGCUAUACUGAACAUUGUCAUAUGGAAAAAAAAACUUGACAAAAAUUAACUGCAUUUUUGUCUCUGUAGUAUUGUAUGACAGUAACAUAUAAGGAAAAUAAAAGGUAAUAAAAAUAUAUUGACUUCAAUGAAGUGUCGACUGAAAUUAAUUUUUAAAAAAUACAUGUAAUGAUUUUAAUGAUACAUGCGCUGUAAUACAUGUCUUAGAUCUAAUUAUUUUGCUUUUCAAUGUGAAAAAAGACUUGAAAUGUCAAGGAAAAAAGGCGCAAAAUAAUUCAAUAGCCAGCUAAAGAGCCCAUAUUGGUCGAACCAUUUUGUACUUACAGUGUAUUUUUAGAUCGCGUGCAAAAUUCAAUAAUCAGAGAAAUGUGAUAUUUCUACAUCUUUUGAAUUAUGCAUCUUUUAAAUUAUGCACCAAUUUAUUUUUUAAAACAGUAAUACCCUCGACUGACCUAAUUUUAUUUAUAAAAAUUAACACAAAAAUUCAUUUUCGGAAGGACAUCUUAACAACGGCUUCCAUGAUUUCGGGGAGGGGUUU